rnacentral:rRNA from 1 species
AUUGAACGCUCGCGGCAGGCCUAACAUAUGCAAGUCGAGCCGAGGAAGGGAGAUUGCUCCUGGAUUCAGCGGCGGACGGGUGAGUAACGCCUAGGAAUCUGCCUGGUAGUGGGGGAUAACGCCCGGAACCGGGCGCUAAUACCGAAUACGUCCUGAGGGAAAAAGUGGGGGAACUUCGGACCUCACGCUACCAGCUGAGCCUAGGUCGGAUUAGCUAGUUGGUGGGGUAAAGGCCUACCAAGGCGACGAUCCGUAACUGGUCUGAGAGGAUGAUCAGGCACACUGGAACUGCGACACCGUCCAGACUCCUACGGGAGGCAGCCUUCGGAAAUAUUUGACAAUGGGCGACAUCCUGAUCUAGCCAUGCCGCUUGUGUGAAUAAAGUCUACGGAUUGGAAAGCACUUUUGGUUGGGAAGAGCUGCGGUAAGUUAAAGCCUUUCUUUUUUGAGGUUACCAACAGGAUGGACACGAUCUAGCUACAUG